CCCCUGCUCCUGGCGCGGCGCUGUCUGCGCGCUGCUGGCUGAGCUGCGCGGCUGUGCGCAGCGCGGAGUUUGCUUUGUGCCCGCGGUCGCGGCAGGACGGCCCGCAGCCAUGGAAGAGUUAAUAGUAGAGCUGCGACUGUUUCUUGAACUUCUGGACCAUGAAUAUCUGACUUCCACUGUCAGAGAGAAGAAGGCAGUAAUAACUAACAUUCUCCUGAGGAUACAGUCAUCUAAAGGUUUUGAAAUAAAAGAACAUGUGCAGAAACCAGAAGUUGCCAACAGCCUGCCAGCACCUCCUCAAAUGCCUCUGCCAGAAAUACCUCAGCAGUGGCUGCCACCAGAUAAUGGGCCUCCGCCUUUACCGACAUCUUCCCUUCCAGAAGGCUAUUAUGAAGAGGCAGUGCCGCUUAGUCCUGGGAAGGCUCCUGAAUAUAUCACUUCCAAUUAUGACUCAGAUGCUAUGAGCAGCUCUUAUGAAUCCUAUGAUGAAGAGGAAGAGGAUGGAAAGGGGAAGAAAAUGAGACAUCAGUGGCCUUCUGAGGAGGCCUCUAUGGAUCUGGUGAAGGAUGCCAAAAUUUGUGCCUUCCUACUUAGAAAGAAACGAUUCGGGCAAUGGACCAAACUACUGUGUGUUAUCAAAGAAAACAAACUACUGUGUUACAAAAGUUCUAAGGACCAGCAACCCCAGAUGGAGCUGCUCCUGAAUGACUGCAGCAUCACCUACAUCCCCAAAGACAGCAAAAAGAAGAAACACGAGCUGAAAAUCUCACACCAAGGAGCGGAUGCACUAGUUCUGGCAGUACAGAGCAAAGAGCAGGCGGAGCAGUGGCUAAAGGUAAUAAAAGAUGUGUGCAACAACUGUACGGGCACUGUGGACUCUGACGGGCCAUUGUCUAGUUCUCCGGUACACAAGACAGAGCUGGAAAAGAAGUUGUCAUCUGAGAGACCAAGUUCAGAUGGGGAGGGUGCUGUGGAAAAUGGCAUCACCACAGUGUGCAAUGGAAAAGAACAAGUGAAGAGGAAAAAAAGUUCAAAAACAGAAGCCAAGGGCACUGUGACUAAAGUAACAGGGAAAAAGAUAACGAAGAUCAUUGGUUUAGGAAAGAAAAAGCCAUCAACAGAUGAACAGACCUCAUCAGCUGAAGAAGAUGUUCCAACAUGUGGAUAUCUCAAUGUGCUCUCAAAUAACCGUUGGCGUGAGCGCUGGUGCCGAGUGAAAGACAAUAAACUCAUUUUCCACAAGGACAGGACAGAUCUGAAGACACAUAUUGUUUCUAUCCCUCUCCGUGGAUGUGAAGUCAUCCCAGGACUGGAUUCAAAGCAUCCCCUGACCUUCCGGCUGCUUCGAAACGGGCAGGAGGUUGCUGUGCUUGAGGCAUCUUCCUCUGAAGACAUGGGCAGAUGGAUAGGGAUGUUGCUUGCAGAAACGGGAUCUUCGACAGACCCCGGAGCUCUGCACUAUGACUACAUCGAUGUGGAAAUGACAGCAAGUGUCAUCCAGGCUGCAAAACAGACCUUCUGUUUUAUGAACAGGCGAGUUAUAUCCACAAAUCCAUACCGGGGAAGCACUGCCAAUGGCUAUGCAUGUCCGAGUGGAAUGGCACUUCAUUACGAUGAUGUUCCCUGCAUAAAUGGAUCGUGGGAACCAGAAGAUGGCUUUCCUUCUUCUCGUAGCAGGAACAUGGGAGAAGAAAUGCUUUAUGAUAACGCAGGCCUGUACGAUAACUUGCCGUCUCCAAAAAUCUUUGCGCGCUAUCCGCCAGCUGACAGGAAAACCAAUAGGUUAUCUACUGACAAACUCUCCUCUAACCAUUACAAACACCCUGUCUCAUCCAAUCUGUCUUCUGCUCAGUCUGUCACUAAUACCUCUGCUGUGGGGAGGGGAUCUGUCUCGCAGUUUAAAGGCAAGAAGCCUCCUGCAACUUCUAACGGGAUCACUGCAAAAGUGAGAACAUUAAAUAGCCAACUGAAGAAACCUGACUCAGUGUCAUGUGUGAAGCGCACAGCAUCCAAUGCAGAACAGUACAAAUAUGGUAAGAAUCGCGUGGAGGCUGAUGCAAAGAGGCUACAGAGCAAAGAAGAGGAACUGCUAAAGAGGAAAGAAGCACUGCGGAAUAGGCUGGCCCAGCUCCGAAAAGAAAGGAAAGAUCUACGUGCUGCCAUUGAAGUGAAUGCUGGCAGGAAGACCCAAGUGAUUCUUGAAGACAAGUUAAAGAAGCUGGAAGAGGAAUGUAAAACAAAGGAGGCUGAGCGUGUAAACCUGGAGCUAGAACUGACUGAGGUGAAAGAGAGCCUUAAGAAAGCCCUGGCUGGUGGCAUCACACUGGGCUUGGCUAUUGAGCCCAAGUCAGGAACAUCAAGUCCACAGUCCCCAAUUUUCAAGCACCGAACUUUGGAAAACUCUCCAAUCUCCAGUUGUGAUACCAGUGACACCGAAUGCUCGAUACCUGUGAACAGCGCAGCAGCUCUGAAGCGACCUCCCUCAUCGAAUAGUUCUCCAUGUCGGGGGCAUGUACUUCGAAAAGCAAAGACAGUGCAACCCAAGCUGUGCUCAGCCCAUUCGCCAGGAGCAGCAGCCAAAUCCUGCCAUCAGGUAUGCAUCUGCAGCACACCCGCCUUUUAGUGGGCGUUAAACGUGCAUAUGUGAGGGUGGAAUUUGGCUCUCAAUUCUUCUGGCCUUUUGCAGUUAUGAGUGAGCCCAGGCCUUAUAGAUGUGGCUAAACAAAAGGAGUCACACGAAUGGGAGAUGAAGAAUGGAACAUAAGUACAGCAAAACCACUCACUUUCCAUAAAGGCUUUGCCUAUUAUGGACCACAACAUAGGCUGCAAAGGACUCAUCCGGUGUAUCAAGCGAUACAACAUAAGAGGUUUUAUAAUUCUGUUAAGUUAAUGGUAGCUUGGCGCUAAUUUGCCUGUAUUCCCUCUACUGUAUUGCUGUGUAACUACAUGUGCCCCUUUUUAUUACCUGUAACUCUUUAUUUCCAGCUUCACUGGUAACACAAAUGGAAACCAAAAAGCAAACCAACCAUAGUAAGUAAAAAGAGGCAUAUAGUUGCAAUUGAAAGUUUACUUUGCUGAAACAGUACAGACCAGCAAUGUGAAUUACAUUGCAUCAGAUGGCCUGAACAGCACUGAAGACUGGUGCGUUAUUUAAGACAGAUGUGAACUCAUUUCAGAUAAGUACUCUUGCAGGUAACACUGCUUUGGAGAGCUCUGCAUGCCACAAGUGAGGCCACGUUGCUAUUAGCGGUCCAUGUGGCAAAAGAAAACUGAAGAAAUGGCUUCACAUGAAUGGCAUGACUUGCUUGGACUGGGAAGUGGGGAAUUCGUCACUGCUACUGCCUUGAUGGCAGUGAGAGACAGUGGAAUGACACAACUCAGCUGUGAAGAGUUUUUGGAUGCUUUUUAAGAUAGAUUUUUGUCAUUGGGAAAUAAAAAGCUUCCACACAUUGAAAAAAAAUAGAUUUUAGUACAUUAGCUUUAUUCUGAGGCACCAGUCAUUUUCAAAAGUCUUGUUGUCUAGCAGUGAUUCAUUUCUGAUUUUGUUAGAAGGCAAACAGGUAUUUUUAGAUAUUGCUUCUUUUCUAUACUUUUUGAAAAAGAAAAAGAAAUGUAAUUGAAAUUAAUCCUCAACAGAUAAUGGCAACUCAGAAUAGCUUUUGAGGUCUGUCAUGUUUUUUUUUUUAAAUAUAGUAUUGUUAAACUUGAGUUAUAGAACACUGCUGUACUUCACUUUCUUCAUCUUUUCAGACCUCAGCUGUUAUUUUUGAGGAAGACAAGACUGAAAGGAUGAUAAUUUUAAGUCUUUUUUAUAAACAUUUUUACAAAGAAUUGGGGAUUUUCUCAGACAGAAGUCGGAUUUCUAGGAAACAGUAUCUUGUAUUUUAGUCUGUGACAUUGUAGACGUGUUCAUCUUUGUCUCUAUCCGUGUCACUCCUGUGAAAUUACAUGCAUUAAAUUGCCAGCUGAAGCCUUUCAAAAUCUCAAGAUUGGCAUAAGACAGAGAAAAAAACAACAUGUAACAAAUCGGGGUUUUUAUUCUCUGUUUUUUUUUUUUUUUGUUUUUUUUUAAGCUUUUGGAGAGCCUUCAGUCAUGUUCUCAAGAUUUUUCUCCUCAACUGUGAAGAUUAAAAAACUAAUUUAAGAAAAUUGAAAUAGUACUCAUAUUUUGAGAUAAUUGGAAAAGUUAGGGCUGGAAUCUUGAUAGAUGGUUAGGACUUGCAAUUCAAAAUCGCAGAAGCUGGCAAUGCAAUAGUUAUCAAGGAUGGCAGAUCUCUUUAUGGCCCAGGCCCACAGGUUGCCUCUUCCCUUUAGGAAGAACUGUAAGUCCUGAAGCCUACACAGGUUGUGACAGCUGAUGUGGUCAGCUGAGCAUUCAGCUCAUUCCUGACCUGCCUCAGAGGAACUCCUGUGGGAGCUGUUUGGAUCAGUAAACCCAGGGCCCCAGCGCUGAGCUGUCAGAAAGUCUCGACACAUGGCAGCUCGCUCCAGUCAGGCCACCGUGAAUGCCAAGUGCUUUUGAAAAGUAGGUCCAUAGCAGUCCAUAUCCAAGGGCUACAUCCUGUUCCCAAAUGCAGUUAGGGAUCUAACUGACCUUAGCAGAGGAGAAAAGAAACGGGGCUCAAAAUUAGAGAAGGCUCUUUGCUUCUUGGGACUGUGCUUUGCACAAGGAGCCACGAGAAUGCAAAUAUAAUGGGAAACAAAUAUCAAAGUGGUUCUCUGUGAAACCAGGAUAUAUAUAUAUAUUUUAUAUUAGUUUAGGUCUGCUUACUUACUGACUCUGUAAGUGGAGAGUACAUCCCAUACUGUAUGACUAUGGACUAAGCAGUAUCAAGUUCCCAUAAAUUUUAGCAGAAAUAAAUUUGAAAGAAAAGUAAGUUCAUUUAGGCUUUUUUAUUUCAAAUUAAGUUAUUUAUUUGUAUAUUUCAAUAAAUAUUUAUUUUAUAUCUGUACAUAUUUAUGAUGAAAUUAGGCUUCUAGUCAACAUUUGCAAGGAUGGAACAGUUGCCAUUAAGUGGUCCCACGUCAAGUAACGCAGAGUAAUCAAAAGUAAUCAAAUUCAAUUCCUUUGAGUCAAUCUUAUUUACCCAAUAUUGGUGUUGUAUCUUCCAUGCCCUUUCACCUGUCCUCCUGCAAAGGGUCCUUAAAGCCAUUCCCCCUCCCCUGUAACCCCAUACUGUAAUUGUAUGUUUCUAAUGUCUAAGUGCAUUGGUAACACUGCAAUUAUCCUUAGUGACAUAUCUAUUCUGUAUAAUAGCCAAGGUUUUGAAAGGAUGAAACAACAGCAAACAACAACUCUGGAAAUAACCUCUUGAUAGACCACAUCCAGUGCUGUGAAAUACAUUCCAUUUUGUUUAACAGUACUGUUGCUGUGCGAUUUAUAUGAAAAGCAACAGAGCUUGUAUUUUCCAUGUUUUUAUGAUUUCAGGAUCACCAGACAAAGUCAGCAAUAGAGCAGUAUGACUUUUUUAAUGGAAAAAUAUUGUAUUUUAAACCAUUGCAUUUCUGUGUCUUUUGACAAGAUGUUAUACUCGUGCUUCCUCAAACUCUUGUUACUGUACCAGGUGCUUUGAAAUUUUUUUUAAUAAAUAGGUGAUGAUUUUUUAAAGACAACAUCAUAAUCUUGGGGGAUCAAAUGUGGGUUUUUUUAAUGAGAUGAUUGUGGUAAUUUGAUUUUUCAGAGGGAGAGUACUUAAUUUACUAUCUUUUUUUUUUUUUUUUUUUCAUUUAAGACACUUUCAAACUAAUUGGCCCAGGCUGUGUGUUGUAAGAUAAUGUUCUCAUAUUAAGAAUGUAAUUAUUUCCUUAUUGUAUUUUUUAAAAACAAAAUCAUAUUUAAAAAUUCUGUGAAAAAAAGCAUGAAAGAAACAUGAAAAAAAGUUUUUGUUUUAUUUUUGUUAUUGGAUAUGUUGGCAGUGCCCGUUAUAAUUGACUGUAAAUAUAGUCUUUCUACUGUAUUUCUCAACGUAUUUAAUUUUGUCUUUUGGCACACAUUCAUAGAAACUUCUGUUUAAAAAAAAAAAAAAAAAGUCCAAAACAGACCCACCUACAAAUGUGUGUCUUAGUAGCUUCAACUAACUUUAUGCCUUUCUAGUUUAUUCUUCAGAAAGUCUUGCAGAGUGUGAAAAAAGACAGGCACCUGGUAGGUGCGACAGAGCCAAGACCAUUAUUAAUAAAGUUACGUGUCAUAAAGAUGUAUUUGUAUUGUUGUUUCUUGGUAUUUAUCCUAAUAACGGGUACAUGGCAUCUUAGCAUGGUACCCACAAUGGUCAGCCUGAACUGAAUGUGAUUAUUCUAUAUCAGUCAGUUGAAAAAUGCACGGAUAGUUCAGAAUUAGUAUCA